AUUGAACGCUGGCGGCAGGCCUAACACAUGCGAGUCGAACGAUAACAGGAAGAGGCUUGCUUCUUUGCUGACGAGUGGCGGACGUGUGAGUAAUGUCUGGGAAACUGCUUGAUGGAGGGGGAUAACUACUGAAAACGGUAGCUAAUACCGCAUAACGUCGCAAGACCAAAGAGGGGGACCUUCGGGCCUCUUACCAUCGGAUGUGCCCAGAUGGGAUUAGCUAGUAGGUGGGGUAACGGCUCACCUAGGCGACGAUCCCUAGCUGGUCUGAGAGGAUGACCAGCCACACUGGAACUGAGACACGGUCCAGACUCCUACGGGAGGCAGCAGUGGGGAAUAUUGCACAAUGGGCGCAAGCCUGAUGCAGCCAUGCCGCGUGUAUGAAGAAGGCCUUCGGGUUGUAAAGUACUUUCAGCGGGGAGGAAGAGAGUAAAGUUAAUACCUGUGCUCAUUGACGUUACCCGAAGAGAAAGCACCGGCUAACUCCGUG
rnacentral:rRNA from 1 species